rnacentral:rRNA from 1 species
AACGAACGCUGGCGGCAGGCCUAACACAUGCAAGUCGAGCGCCCAGCAAUGGGAGCGGCGGACGGGUGAGUAACACGUGGGAAUAUGCCUUUCGGUUCGGAACAACUCGGGGAAACCCGUGCUAAUUCCGGAUACGCCCUUACGGGAAAGAUUAUCGCCGAAAGAUUAGCCCGCGUCCGAUUAGCUAGUUGGUGAGGUAAUGGCUCACCAAGG